rnacentral:lncRNA from 1 species
UAAAAUUAUAAAGGACUUGUUUUUCAUUAUCAUAAUCUCUAUCAUGACAACAAGUUUCUAAUUUUAAUCAAGGAUUUGUCAAAUUAACAAUUUAAUAAAACAAUAUAUAUAAUAAUAAAAUAAAGAACAUUUUUUUACUAAAAUUAAUAACAUGAUGGAUUGCAUCUUGGACAUAAAUAUUUAUCCCAAACACAUAGAAUCAUGUUUUAUGAGUAGGAUAAAGUUGGAGUGAAGUGUAAGGGCCAUUUGCACUAUAAAAAAAAAAAUUUCCCACCGAAUAAUUCCCACGGAUAAAAUUCCUUCGAAAAUGUUGCAAUCCGACAAAUUUUUUUGAAAGAUUUAAUUCUGUCAGAAAGUAUUCAUUUAUGAUGGAUUUUACCAAAGGAAUCAAUCCAUUGGAAUGUAAAAUUAUCCCCAAUUAAAAGACCCCUGACCCUAGUCCUCUGUUACUCCCUUUGUGACAUUCGUCUCAUCUCUGCUCUCUGUGACCCCGUGCCUCAAUCUUGUGCCUGUGACCAUCGUGUCUCCGUAGCAGCUACAUUCCGCCUCCACUAUCAGCCCACACUGUGAACAGGUAAGCCCACCGCCCCUAGUUGUCACUGGUCUUAGCCCACACAACUCUCGGAAGUUGUUGCCCAAGCCUCUCGGUCUCAUUUGGCUUUACAAGUUUAAUUUUAUUUUCGUUCCUUGUUUGAUUCAUUCAAAAUGUUGCUUGGAUGAUUUUAUGCUGUUUAGUCAAUGGUGUUGAUUGCUUGGAUGAUUUAUAAACACAUAAAGCUUAAGAAACAUUGCUUAUUUUUGUUAUGAAUUUGUUAUGUUGGUUUGGUUGGUGUGUUGGUUGGUUAUGGUGUUGUUCGAUGGUGGUUUGGGUCGUGGGUGGUUGGUGGUUUGAUUGGUGAUGGUGAUGCUCGAUGGGGGUUUGGGUUGCGGGUGGUUAGUGGCGAUUUGGUUGGUGACGAUGGUGAUACGAUUGCAAGGUUGGUGGUGCUGUUGCUUUGGUUUGGUUGUAGAACAGUUGCUUUGGUGGUUGGCACGAAAGGAUGUGGGCACGGAAGGGUCAUGGCCAUUUUUUUCAUCUUUACUAUCAGUACACCCCCUUUAUUAUCAGCACAACUUUUAAAUAAAAAAGAAACACACAAUAAAGAAACAGUUAGUUAACAAAAAUAUUCGAGGAUGCAAAAGAAAUAUAUUUUAACUAAAGAGGUAUGAGUGUAAUAAGUUAUAAUUAACAGAAGACAAAACAUAAUUUGUUUUCAUAAAAAUAAUCAAUCACCUUCUUUCGUCUAUCAUUUUACAAAAAUAUUUUCCAAAAAUUAUUAAGCAGAUUUGAAUCAUAGCUUAGUUUAUGAUUUUGAUUAAUCUUUAUUAUGUAAUCAACUGCUAUUCAUUAUUUUAUGAGAUAAAGUUUUGUCGGGACAAUGAGUAUGUAAUUGAGGUACACUUAAUUAUUUGUUUGCCAGUAAGUUUUUAAUUGGGAGAGUUUCUUUACCUUAGAUUAUAACAAACAAACAAAAUUCAGUAAUCCUAAAUUACAGUUUGAUUUAUGAUUCCAAUUAAUAUUUACUAGCAAUCAAGUGUUAUUAUUUGUUUUUAUUAAUUAAAAAACCUAAAUACGUGUGAGAUAAAGAUUAGGGGGGGGGGGGGGGGGGGGACAAUGCACUAUUCUCUGUAAAAACAGUUUUGAUCUUUUCGGAAAAAAACAAUUGAAUGGUAAUUUACCUAAUGUUUUUUACUCUUUAUGUUUUUACAAAAUUAAAUACAGUAACAAUUUUGAUAAUGCACUCCACUUACUUUAAGUAAUUAAAAAUAACAGUGUUUAUUCAAAAAUUAUAAACAUGAAAGUGUUAUAUUUGUUUUUAUUUAUAAUUACUUGAAAUUAAAUUUUAAAGACCAGUAUCAAUAGAACUGGAAAAAAAUUUAGAUAGAAUAAAACUGUGUGUAAAUAAAACUUCAAAACAGAAUAAUGAUAGUUACCUAGUUAAAUACUAUUAUUGUAAACGCAUAAUUAAUACUUCUCAUUUUUUAUUGUAUUUUUUUAUUACCUCAUAUCAUCAAUCCGUUUCAUUUCAAUCAAUCUUAACCAAUUAUAAAGUGUUAAAAAUAUUUAGAUAAUGAUUUUUAAACUUUUUUCUUUCUCUUUUAUUAUCAGGUUCAUAGUUAGUCUGUCUUGAGUGAUUGCUUUAUUACUCACACUUAGGUUCUAUUGUUUAGGUUAGUUGAGGUCUUUUAUUGUACUUGUUUGAAAUUUUUUAUACUAAAUGUGUUAAGUAUAUAUAUAUAUUUGAUUGUGGUUAUGUUAUUUAUAUUCCAUACUUGGUGAGUUUAGAAAGUCAAACAUUAUAUGUAUGCCAUUGUUUUCACCUAAAGUAUGAUAAUAAUUCUUGCUACCAAUAUAUAAUGGAGAUCACUCUAAGAGUAUGCAUGACUAAACAUCAAGGUUUCUAAUUUUGAAAUCAUCAUUGGAUGUAUGAUAGAUGUUAUAGUGGUAAAACCGGUUUGAAAGAGUCUUUUGUUGAGGGGAUUGAAGAGUUUGUAAGCAAAGCUUGUUAGCAAGAUUGUUAUGACAAUGAGGGGGGGAUCAAAUGUUCUUGUGUUAAAUGCGAUUGCACUAGGAUUUUAGAGGAUAGGGUUGUGAAGGUUCACCUUUACAAAAAUGGUUUCAAGCCUAAUUAUUGGAUUUGACUGAUCAUGGUGAACACAUGCCAUAUAGGGAUGUAAAUGAGGACAACAAUUACAUGGAUGUUUCUACUAGUGCAAAAUAUAUGGCUCAACAUGAACAGUUUAUCUUAAUGCAAGACAUGGUGUGUGAUGCUGUGAGUCAACCUCAAACAUUUGAACCUCCAAACUCAAAUAAUACGGAAGAACCUCCAAAUGAAGAUACUUAAAGAUUUUACAAUUUUCCUGGCAGAGGCAAAUGAACCAUUGUACGAAGGGGCAAUAGACUCAAAAUUAUCAAUAUCUGCAAGGAUUUUUGCAAGUCCAAUUGGAAUGUUCCUGGCCAAUGUUUGGAGUUUAUUUCAAAAAUGCUUUUGGAUGCAACACCUAUAAAAGAUGGUUUACCAAAAAAAAAAUUAUGAUGCGAAGAGGUUAGUAUCAAAGUUAGGAUUGGAUGCUAAGAGGAUUAACUGCUGUGUGGAUGGUUGCAUGUUGUAUUAUGACAAUGAUGUAGCAUUAACCGAAUGCAAAUUCUGUGACAAGCCUAGGUAUCAUGCUAAGACUGUUUGAACAAGCAACAAAAGCCAAUUCCAGUAAAGGUGAUGUUUUAUUUGCUUAUAAUACCAAGGUUGCAGAGACUAUUUGCAUCAAUAUAAACUACAAGCGAAAUGUCAUGGCACUAUAAGAAUAGAAAAUCUUCGGGCAUGUUAUACUGUCCAUUUGAUGGUGAAGCGUGAAAACACUUUGAUCGGGUACAUGCAUAUUUUGCUAUUGAUCCACGAAAUGUGCAGUUCGGUUUAUGCACAGAUGGAUUUAAUCCAUAUAUUUGAGCAUCCUCUUCACCUUAUUCUUGUUGGCCAAUCAUUGUUACCCCGUACAAUCUUCCUCCAUAAAUGUGUAUGACUAAACCUUAUAUGUUUUUGAGCUAUGUUAUACUAGGUCCAUUUAAUCCAACGAUUGAUAUUAAUGUUUAUUUACAACCUUUGAUUGAUGAUCUAAAGAAAUUAUGGAGUGGUAUCAUGACUUACGAUGUUUAAAGUAAGCAAAAUUUCAUGAUGAGGACAACUUUGAUGUGGACUAUUAAUGAUUUUCCUGCUUGGGAUGUUGUCUGGUUGGGGGACACAUGGUAGACUAGCAUGUCCGUAUUGCAUGGAGGACACAAAGGCAUUUUAGUUGGAAAACGGGAGACAAACUUCUUGGUUUGACUGUCAUCGUAGGUUCUUACCUACUGAUCAUGCAUUUAGGAGGAACAAAAAUGUGGAAGCAAUGUCUUCCAAGGUUAUUUUGAUGAUGCCAAAGAAUCAAGAGUUAAGAAUCAAGAAUCAAGUUUCAAGAAUCAAGAUUCAAGACUCAAGAAUCAAGUUUUAAGAAUCAAGAUUCAAGAAUAAUCAAGAUCAAGAUUCAAGACUCAAGAUUCAAGAAUUAAGAGAAGACUCAAUCAAGAUAAGUACUAAAAAAGUUUUCCAAAACAUUGAGUAGCACAAGAAGUUUUCACAAAAUCAUUACCAAAGAGUUUUACUCCCUGGUAAUUGAUUACCAGAAGGUAGUAAUCGAUUACCAGUGUUUUAAAACAUUAGAUUUCAAAUUUCAAGAGUCACAACUUGUGUUUAAACAAUUUUAAAUCAUUUUAAACUUGUGUAAUCGAUUACACAAUACUUGUAAUCGAUUACCAGAGUUCUAAACAUUUUGAUUUUUAAAAUUUAAACAUGAAGAGUCACAUAUGUUGAUGUGUAAUCGAUUACACCUUAAUGGUAAUCGAUUACCAGUGACUGAUUUCGAAAAAUAAAUUUUCAAAAGUCACAAUUCUUCAAGUGACUUGUUUCUGAAGAUUUUUUUUAAAAGUCACAACUUUUUAGUGACUAGUUUUCAAAAGAGUCACAAUUUUUAAAGGGUGACUAGUUUUAAAGAAAUUGCCAAGAGUCACAAACUUUAACUUGAGUCGUCAAGUGAUUAUAAAUAUGUGACCAUGACAUGAAUUUCAUAUCCAUCUUUCAAUAUCUUUCAACACUUUCAACAAAACUUUCUAAUUCAUUUCUCUUCGUCUUUCUAAAAGUUUUUGUUCAAUCAUUUCUCUUUCAAGAAAAAUUCUUUGAUAAAAAAACUUGUACUAUUCUUCUUCAUUCACUUCUCCCUUUUGCCAAAAGUAUAGAAGGACUAACUCCCUAAAUUCUUUUGUGUCUCCCUUCUUUCUUCCAAGAGAAUUCAAAGGAGUAACCGCUUAAGAAUUCUUUUGAUUCUUCCCUUUCCCUUAAGCAAAAGAUUUCAAAGAACUAACCACCUAAGAUAUCUUUUGUUUCCCCUUAGAAAGAUUAAAAGGACUAACCGCCUGGGAAUUCUUUGUCCCAACACAUUGGAGGGUACAUCCUUUGGGGUACAAGUAGAGGGUACACCUACUUGGGGAUUGUUAUACUGAGAACAAGAGAGGGUACAUCUCUUGUGGAUCAAUUCAAGUGAAGGGUACAUCCACUUGGUUUUUCAAAGAGAACAAGGGAGGGUACAUCCUUUUGUGGAUCUUUGGCUUGUAAAGGAUUUUACAAGGUUGAAAGAAAUCUCAAGAAUCGCAUGUUGCUUGGGGACUGGAUAUGAUUUGUGGCCGAACCAAUAUGAAAUUAUUGUGUUUUCCUUCUUCUUCCCUACACUCUUUAAUUUCCACUGCGUACUUUUAAUUAUCACUUUUACUUUUGGUUAAGUUUCUAUUUAUGUUUUUUACUUUCUUAACUUAGUAGUAAAAGCCUAAUUGAAUCUAGUAACAUUAAGAAUGAUAGAUUUUUAAUUAGUCAAGACACGUUCAUAAUUAAUUCAAUCCCCCUUCUUAAUUAUUUCGAGGCCACUUGAUCCAACAAAAAAAUGCCUUCAGAAAGGGGGAAGUUGAAAGGGAUCAGCCACCACGUAUGUUGACACCUACACAAGUAUGAUGUAGGGUUAGGGAUUUUCCAAAAGUCACAGAAACUGGUCUGCCACCAGCAAAUUUACAUGGAUAUGGGUAGUGGCACCAUUGGACAAAAAGAAGUAUCUUUUGGGAUCUUCCUUAUUGGAAAGAUAAUUUGUUGCGACACAAUCUUGAUGUUAUGCACAUAGAGAAAAAUUUCUUUGAUAACAUAUUCAACAUUGUUAUGAAUAUCAGUGGUAAGAUAAAAGACAAUGACAAGGCUAGGAUGGACUUAGCUUUGUAUUGUAAGCGUAAAGACUUGGAGUUGAAGUAGUGGCCAAUGGGAAGUUAUUAAAGCCAAAAGCAAAUUACACUUUAACUGCAGACCAAACAAAGUUAGUUUGUCAAUGAAUAAAAGAACUUCGAAUGUCAGAUGGUUAUUCUUCUAACUUGGCCAGAUGUGCCAAUAUUGAUAAGGGAACCAUGCAUGGGAUGAAAAGUCAUGAUUGUCAUGUGUUCAUGGAGUUUUUACUUCCUAUUGCUUUUAUCUCAUUGUCGUCACGUGUCUUAAAUCCAUUUACUGAAAUAAGUCAUUUCUUCAAAGACUUGUGUCGUACAACUUUGAUGGAUGAUGUCUUGAGCAGAAUAGAACAAAAUAUUCCAUUAAUUUUGUGAAAGUAGGAGAGAAUAUUCCCCCAGGUUUUUUUGAUUCAAUGGAGCAUCUGUCUAUUCAUUUGGCAUAUUGUUAGUCGGUCAAUAUGACUAACUUAUGUGUAAGAAACUGUUGUAAAUUGUAUAUGGCUCCUCCCAUUUAUAGUUGUUUUUGGUAGUAUUGUAAUUACUUUUUGUUAAUUUAAGUGAUAGGUACUCAGUAUCCCAAUUUUGUGUAUUUAAUGAUCAUUCCUUUUCAAUUUCAGGUAAAAUGGGCAAGAUUGGUGAAGUGCAGAAUUCAUGAACUCGCUGAGCCAUGCCACGCACUGGGUGAGCCAUCCACUAAGCGCACUAUCCUCUGAUUAAGCACGCAAAAGAAUCUACAAGAAGGAUGAGCUAUACAGAGGUGUUGAGCGAGUGUCAACUCACUAAGUGCACCGCCUUUAACCCUUACGCUAAGCGAGAAGACUGGCGCCAAGCCAGAAGUCACUUACAUGCGCUAAGCAAGCUCAUCUUCCUCUAAGCACGUGCCCACCGACAGGAUUGCCUAUUUAAAGCUGAAAUCUCAAUUUUGGGGAGGUUGUUGAGUUUUUUGAGAGUUUUUGGUUGUGUUGAGACUGAGAGAGAGCUAAGCAUGACGAGGAAGCCAUCUUGCAGAGCUUUGGAUGAGAUUUUGAGAGAUUGUGAGGUUUCUAGAGGUUGAGGAGACAUCCCUACUACUUGUAUUUCUUCUAUCUUUCAUCUUCUCUUCUCAUUGUUGUAAAGGAAGCUUCCCUGCUAUGGAGAGCUAAAUCCUCAGUUGGCUCUUCCCAUGGGGUACUUGAUGUAAAUAUUUUUAUAUCUAUCUAAUGAUGUUUUAUGUGUUC